CCUAUAGCAUAACGAUAAUGCACUAGAUCCCAUUAGAACUCUGCAGCUAAGCACACUCAGGAUAGAGUAGUAUUGGGAUGUGUGAUUUCCGAUGAAGUCCUAGUUUUUUACAUGU
rnacentral:rRNA from 1 species